UACGUAGGUGGCAAGCGUUGUCCGGAUUUAUUGGGUUUAAAGGGUGCGUAGGCGGUUCCAUAAGUCAGUGGUGAAAUACGGCAGCUCAACUGUCGAGGUGCCAUUGAUACUGCGGAACUUGAGUGUUGAUGAGGCGGGCGGAAUUGACGGUGUAGCGGUGAAAUGCUUAGAUAUCGUCAAGAACACCGAUAGCGAAGGCAGCUUGCCAAGCAACAACUGACGCUCAGGCACGAAAGUGCGGGGAUCAAACAGG
rnacentral:rRNA from 1 species